AAGGUACUCAGUUUAAUAGUAUGUUGUACUCAGCUUUCAAUACACAAAUAUUGAUUGAAUGACCUAUAAUUAAAAAAUUAUUUAUUAUAGUUAAAGAUUUAUAUUUGAGGAUUACUUAUAGUACUUACAGUGCAGGUAGCAAUUAUACUGGAUUAGCCUAAUAUUAAAAUAUAUAAUUUGUCAGUUUUAUUUUAUUUAUAUAUUUGGUUUUCUUUCAAUCUAUAUUUUACAUAAUAUGUUUGUUUGUUUUUUCUUUUAGGUUCAGGUGAAUGCAUUUUCUCUGAAUCUUCUGCAACUUGUUUUGGCGCUACAGGACAGCCGGUAAUUUUUCAUCUGUCAUAUAAACGUGGUACUUCGAUUGUAACCACGAAGGAUGACAAACACAGGAUUUUGAAAAUAAGCAAUCAAGGGAAAGUUACAUUAGAUAAGGAAUAUGUAAAUCAGUCAGACAGCAUAGACACUGUAAUACUCAAAGUAGGUGAAGCCUCGAAGAAACAUUCUGGACAUUACCAGUUGGAAGAACAUGAUCAUGAUGGAAAGUUACUGAAAAAAAUUAAUGUAUAUCUAAAAAUACAAGCUCCAGUGUCAAAGCCAGGCCUGUCUCAGAAAUGCUUGUCAUCAGAACAUAUGAAGAUCAGCUGCUUCUCUGAAGGAGAUGGAGUACAAUUCAUUUUGAAUUUGGAUGGUCAGAUACUUACACAAAGCAAAGACAACAACCAAUCUCCAUACAUCGGGACAUCCCAGUUUUCAUAUCUUACUGUUGACUUACAUGUGAAGCAGAUUGGAAACCUUAGUUGCCAAGUUUGGAAUAAUAUUAGCAGAAAUGAAACAGUUAUUCACCUGGCAGCCUGCAAAGAUUCUGUUAAAACCUUGACAGUGGCUGUGAUAGCAACUGUCAUCACGCUCUUUAUCGUUGUGGCUUUGAGUUUGGCUGUAAAACAGUUUUGUAAAAAAACAAGACCAACAACUGUUGAUGAGGAUGAUGUUGACAGUGACAUUAUCUACACAGAUGUUAGAGUGAUAAGUCCUAACAAAUUAAACAAAAUCAACUCAGGAGAAUCAGCUGGGAUAGGUUCCAGCACUGACGUUGACUCUGAAGUGGAUCAGCCAUGAAGAAGAUGAAUG
ensembl:lncRNA